GGCGGGCCCCGCUUUGAGUCCGUCUACACAUACACGGAGCGCCCCCGACGGACAGGGAGGGUUUGGGGGACCGUGGGUGAUGGGGACACAGGACAGCUACACGGGUUCGGAGCGCCACGGGAAAAGGGAGGGUCCCUCCGUGUCCCAGGCGACGGGGACGCCCUGCAUCCCCAGCAGGCCCGCCCGAGACAGCGCGGGCGCGUGGCGGAGGGCCAGCGAGGCCACGGAGGGACCACGAACCAGGACCUUCCCCCACCCCGUUCCGCAUCCUUUCCCGGCCCUACCCCCAGGGAACCCCCGUUCCGCUACCCCCAGCCCGUCGCCUCCUCCCUCCGGGAACGCCAGGUCUGGGCCUUAAGAACCAUCUGGGCCGGGCGACUGGAAUAAGACACCACCUAAGUCCCCACCACUGGUGACCAAGAGCAGAUUCCAUCCCUGAGGGGAGGAGAGGAUAGGUUCUCAGACAGCGACCCACCUCUUUUGAGUCUUCUCCGCCAUGGUUUCAGCUCCUGUCUCUAGCUGGAUCGACACAACCGCCUGGCCACAGCGAUGAUCUCUGUAGGUGAUUGUGGAGCCUGGCAGGACGGGGAAGGGGCGGAGCCUUGGCGCUGCUCGCGUGGGCGGGGGCGGGGCCGGCUCGCGUUGGAGGUUUCAGUUCUGCGUGAGCCGGCUCCAGCCAGGCGGCGGUGUUUGGCCGCGAACUGAUCGUUAGUGCAGUAAAAGAUCGGGGGACUCGGAUUUAAAACGGCCGUUAAGUCAGAUCCAACGCAAGUCAUUGUGACCUCAUUAAGCCCCACUGUUCAUUCUCAGUUAAGUUCCUUAAGGAUCCUCCUGCUAAACCUGGGCCCUUUUCCCUUUCAAUGUGAGCUGGUUCUCCUCCCCUCGCCCCCGUAAGUUAAGUGCCCUCUACCUGAUAUCUUUCUCAGGUUAAUCUCUAAUUCUGUCCUUCUUGCCAAGCUUCACACCAGCUUAUUCGAAUCUUGACCUGGAUGCUGCGAGGUCUUAUGAAACCUAAAAUGUCCAGAACAGAGCUUUGGUGGCACAGUGGUAAAGAAUCUGCCUGCCAAUGCAGGAGUGGGAGGCUCCGGUUCAAACCCUGGGAUGGAGAGAUCCCCUGGAGAAGGAAAUGGUAACUCACUCCAGGACUCUUGCCUGAAAAAUUCAAUGGACAGAGAAGCCCUCAAUCUGCAGUCCGUGGGGUCCCAAAGAGUUGGACACGUCUGGAGCACCUGAGCUCGCAGGCACUUCUCUCUAAAGAAUGUGGAAGACGCUAACUACACGAUGACCAGACUGUAGCCGUGACAUAAGCUGCCACAGUUUCAAGAACUGGCCUCAAAGAAAUGGAAACAACUGACCCUGGAACUGAAGAUUAACUGUAUUUAAAACAAUCAAGAUGAAGCUGGUCAGACCACCAGUGACCAACUUGAAGAUGAUCGUAAGAGUGGACUGUGCUGUUUCUGCAUGUAGCCCCCUCCCUCAGUCUAUAAAAGCUCUUGCCCCUCUGGUUGUCAGUGGAGGGGGAACCACCUUUGAACAGACAUCUGUCCUCCCCUACCCCCAUUGCCAGCAUCCGAAAUAAAGCAAACUUUCCUUUCCAC